rnacentral:rRNA from 1 species
UACGUAGGGGGCGAGCGUUGUCCGGAAUCAUUGGGCGUAAAGCGCGUGUAGGCGGCUCGAUAAGUCCGGUGUGAAACCUUGGGGCUCAACCCCCAAGCCUGCACUGGAUACUGCCGAGCUAGAGUCCGGGAGGGGAGAGCGGAAUUCCUAGUGUAGCGGUGAAAUGCGCAGAUAUUAGGAAGAACGACCGGUGGCCGAAGGCGGCUACUCUGGAACGGUACUGACGCUGAGACGCGAAAGCGUGGGGAGCGAACAGG